rnacentral:lncRNA from 1 species
UCUCAAUGUCAGCCUUAGGAAGGGUAACAUCCACAUCUGGGCCCUCUCCUUUGAAUCCUGGCAUGCUGAAUUUGGGCAUUUUCACCUUGGGCAUCUUCAGGUGCCAGUCUGGGCCAUGAACAUCCACAUCUGGGACUUCAACAUCCACCUUGGGUCCUGAGACAACAACAUCAGCCUUGGGCAAGUUCACAUCCACUUCUGGGCCCUCUGCUUUGAAGCCAGGCAUGCUGAACUUGGGCAUUUUCAUCUUGGGCAUCUUCAGGUGCCAGUCUGGGCCUUGAACCUCCACAUCUGGGGCAUCAAUGUCCAUUUUGGGUCCUUUGAUUUCAACAUCUGGCACUUUCAUUUCACCUUCUACCUUGGGCACAGACACAUCUGGGGCAUCAAUGUCCA